GACGAACGCUGGCGGCGUGCUUAACACAUGCAAGUCGAACGGAAAGGCCGUGCUACUGUGUUGUGCUCGACUGGCGAGCGGGUGAGUCACAAGAGAGUACCCUGCCGUUGACUAUAGGAUCACUUAAGGACACUUGGUCUAAUACCGGCUAGGGGGCCCUGCUGGAUGGUGGGGGGUGGAAAGUUUCGGCGGUGGGUGAUGGGCUGGCGGCUCAUGAGCUUGUUGGUGGGGUAGUGGCUUACCAAGGCGUUGACGGGUAGCCGGCCUGAGGGGGUGACCGGCCACAUUGGGACGGAGAUACGGCCGAGACGCCUACGGGAGGCAGCAGUGGGGAAUAAUGCACAAUGGGCGGAGGCCGGAUGCAGCAACGCCGCGGGCGGGAUGUCGGCCGUCGGGUUGUAGACCGCUUUUGCCUGUGACGAAGAGUGAGUGACGGUAAUGGGUAAAGAAGCACCGGCUAACUACGUG
rnacentral:rRNA from 1 species